rnacentral:rRNA from 1 species
CGCACGGGUGAGUAACACGUAUCCAACCUGCCGAUGACUCGGGGAUAGCCUUUCGAAAGAAAGAUUAAUACCCGAUGGCAUAGUUCUUCCGCAUGGUGGAACUAUUAAAGAAUUUCGGUCAUCGAUGGGGAUGCGUUCCAUUAGGUUGUUGGCGGGGUAACGGCCCACCAAGCCUUCGAUGGAUAGGGGUUCUGAGAGGAAGGUCCCCCACAUUGGAACUGAGACACGGUCCAAACUCCUACGGGAGGCAGCAUG